GUCAUCAUCAUCACUGUCAAGCUCUUGGCCAUAGACUUCUCCCCGUAGCCCAGCUCGAAUAUUUUCCAUUCCCUGUGUUAUCUUUUCCUUCUGCUGUUUUUUAUUUUUUAAUAAUGUGUUGAUAAAUGCCUUCACUUCUGGGGGACAUUAUCGCAUCGUUGGACAUUUUUUGCUGGAUCUAAUCCACUAAGAUGGUACUUAAGUCGUGUCACUCCGCCACUCUUCAUUACACGACCACAAUAUUUGCAAAUUGUGCCAUGUUUGUUUCCGUCUAUUGGGUGUCCAUGUUCCCAAGCUGGAUCACGUUUAGUAGCUCCACUGGACAUCGUAAAUGUACCUACAUUUAUUUUUCAUGAAAAUUAGACAAAUAUUUUUUUGGCCAAAAAAAUAUAGUAGUGAUGACGGUUAUAUAAGAGAACCUAAAUAAUAAAAGUUAUUCUACAGAAGAAUUAAAUAUGAAGUAAAGAAAAUGAUUGUAAAAAUUUAAGUAAUUAAAAAAAAUAAUAUGGAAUAAUAAAACCUAAUAUUAAUGAUGAAUAAUAAUCCAAUUUGAUAAAAAAAAUAAUCCUAAUAUAAAUGAUGAAUAAUAUUUCUUUUUGAUAAUAAUCCUAAUAUAAAUAAUCCUACUAUAAAUGAUGAUAAUUAUGUUUCAUGAAAAUAAUCCUAAUAUAAAACAUAGUGAUGAAUAAUAUUCCUUUUUUAUAAUAAUCCAAUUUAAUAAUAAUCCACUUUAAUAAUAAUCCAAUUUAAUGAAUAAUCCAAUUUGAUAAUAAAAAAAAACCUAAUAUUAAUGAAUAAAAAUCCUAUUUGAUAAAAAAAUAAUCCUAAUAUAAAACAUAGUGAUGAAUAAUAAUCCAAUUUAAUAAUAAUCAAAUUUAAUGAAUAGUCCAAUUUGAUAAUAAGCCAAUUUAAUGAAUAAUCCAAUUUAAUGAAUAAUAAUCCAAUUAUCUUAAAAAUAAUCCUAAUAUAAACAUAGUGAUGAAUAAUAAUCCAAAUUGAUAACAAUCCAAUUUAAUAAUAAUCCAAUUUAAUGAAUAGUCCAAUUUGAUAAUAAGCCAAUUUAAUGAAUAAUCCAAUUUAAUGAAUAAUAAUCCAAUUUGAUAAUAAUCUAAUUUAAUGAAUAAUAAUCCAAUUUGAUAAUAAAAAAAAACUAAUAUUAAUGAAUAAUUAUCCUAUUUGAUAAUAAAACCUAAUAUUAAUAAAAUAAUAAAUAACAUUAAACAUAUUAAAAUUAUCCUAGGGAAUAAUUAUACAACAUUAUUUAAUUACUUAAAAAAAUUAACAUGUAAUUGUUAACAUUACUUAACUACUUACAAAAAUUAACAUGCAAGUAUUAAUUACUUAAAAAAAUUAGCAUACGAGUCCACACAAAUUUAUUUGUUGUUGUAUAAAUUACAAUAAUAUAAAUAUAAGUUUGUAAACUUACCUUAAAUAUGGAACCCUUUGUGUUCAAGCUUUGGAAUGGAGCUGGAAUGGCUUUGAAAAUGGUAAGGGAAAUAAAAUAAUAAAUAACAUUAAACAUAUUAAAAUUAUCCUAGGGAAUAAUUAUACAACAUUAUUUAAUUACUUAAAAAAAUUAACAUGUAAUUGUUAACAUUAAUUAAUUACUUACAAAAAUUAACAUGCAAGUAUUAAUUACUUAAAAAAAAUUAGCAUACGAGUCCACACAAAU
rnacentral:lncRNA from 1 species